CUUCAAAAGAAUGGGCAAUAUUUGGUGUCCGAUCUUGUCUGAUCUUGGAAGCUAAGCAGUGUCGGGCCUGGUUAGUACCUGAAUGAGAGACCACCUAAGAAUACCAGGUGCUGUAGGAGU
rnacentral:rRNA from 1 species